UCCCAGUGCCAGCUAAUUCUUAGAGGUAACAAACCCUCCUGUGGGGUUGCCUUUCAUAAGCAAACUAACCAAUUCAGAGCCCUCUCCCCACCCCCUGCUUAAUGAGCUCUUGCACUGGGGGACACUAUUCCCCUGUCCUAAUCACCUCAGGCACAGGCAGGGCAUCGAGUUAUGCAAGUGAGCCAAUCUUAAACCUGCUUAGCCUGCUCACCCUGUCUCACCCACGCUUUCCUGCAAACACCACAAAAAGGCUCUUUCAGGUGGCAGUUCGCCUCACUCUCUGUGCCUACAACCGACCUCAGAGCCCCUCCUGUGGCCUGCAUGGGUGGCUGACCUGCCCCCCUCCUCCUGGAAACUCUAAUAAACUAUCAUUUCAAUGGCAGUUGUCUCCUGAUCUGUUGGCCUCACCAUACCUAAAUAAAAAAUAAAAUCUACAUUUUAAAAGGGGCUCAUGGGCAGUGUCAGCUUCCUUCCAAGCUGGCAAAUUUGAGCAGUCUUGUCUCAGUGUUUUCAGGGGUCCGUGGUAUCUAACUGGCUCAACGCUUGGACAAAGACAUCUUAUGGAUACAAAAGGAAUCAACCCCCUCGCGAUGCUUUCAGCAUCUCAUAUGCUUAUCCUGGGAGGAUUUGGGUCUCAGGAAGGACACAUGGUUGUCUGUCUGCUGCCAGCCCAGACGACAAGGACUGCCCAGUGGUCCCACGGCAUCAGAAGCUAAAUAAAAUGGUUAUUUUAAACCACUAAACUAGGAGAACAUAGAGUUGUUGCACAACAAACAAGAGCUUCUGAAACCGCUUGAUGUCCUAAGGUUAGCAUUCCCUCAAUCUGGACUUGGAACCCCUUCCUGUGGGAGGACUAGAUGAACAUGGAACUGAGCCUGGCAGACACUGCAAAUGAGGCCCCUGCCAGCCAGGGGAAGCAUUGAUAGGCACACUGAGGGUAUGCUGAAGAAGGCAGUGAGGUCCAGCUCCAGGAAGCUGCAGCAACAUUAGGCCACUGCAGCGGACCUCAUUUUCAGAAGGAUUUUAAGCCAAAGCCCAAGGUAAAGGGGAGCAAGGACUUUUAUGCAGCUUGUUUUUGUGCAGGUAUUAAGGACUCUCAGGAAGCCUGGUCCUUCAGGGGUUUAUUUUGUUUGUUUAUUUGUUUUGUUUUGUUUUUUCUAUACACAGGGGAGAGGAUUCAAAUGCAGUAAUCAGUUUCUUGCUCUUUUUUUUUUCUUCUUAAAUAGAGACAGAGUCUCGCUCUAUUGCCCAGGCUGGUUUCAAAUUCCUGGGCUCAAACAAUCCUCAUGCCUCAGCCUCCGAAACUGCUGGGAUUACAGGCAUGAGCCCCGAUGCUUGGCCAAUUUUCUUGUUCUGUAAAGCUGCACUGCUUAAGCACAAGGCCAAAAUGAGGUCUCUCACCACUUCUGCCUGAACUAAACUUACCCAGUGAAUGCUGGGCUGGGCAGUCCAGUCUUCCCCACAUGUGGUAAUGUUCUGCUCUCAGUCAUGUUCUAACCACAAGGCAGCAAACACUGGCGCAGCUGAGCCCGAGGCUGGGGCUGCAGUCUGAACUUUUACAUUACUCAGUUAAUUACAAAGCCAGUCAAAUCACCCCAAAGAUCCACACACCCAAGAGUGCUGGAUAAGAAAAAAAUCCUGCAUAUCAAACCCCUUCUGGGGGAGAGACCAGGGAGAGCGUGGAAGAGAAGAGGUCUGGGGUAUGCAGUGGCUGGUGGCCUAGAGCAAUUCUAACCCAGGAGGCCUCAACAGGGAGCCUGCACCUGAAUGUUGGAAGAAGCAGGGUUUCCGUCAGUCUGUGUUGGCUUUAAAGGAACCAUCCUUCAUGCCCAAAGGAGGCAAGUGUUUGGCAGCUUUUCCAGAUGGCAUGUCUUGCAGUCGUUGAAAAUUUUUUAAAGUGUAAUUCUUGAUAGUGUAUCUCCAAGACAGAGAGACAAGCCCCUAGUCACCCUUCUGAACACCAUAAAGUUUAUUAUAAAGGACUUACAAAGGACAAAGACGAAGAGACACAUAGGGCAAGGUACCAGGGAAGGGGCACAGAGCUUCCAUGCCCUCCCUGGGCGCAUCACUCUACAGGAACCUCCCUGUGUUCAGCUAUCCAGAAGCUCUCCAAACUCCAUCCUCUUGGGCUUUAAUGGAAGCUUCGCAAGGUCAGCAUUCCUUCCCCCAGGGUAUGCGGUGGGGCCCUCUCUGGAGAACCCCAGUUAAUUUUUAAAUAUUAAAAUAAAAAUGCUGGCCAGGCACAGUGACUCACACCUGUAAUCCCAGCACUUUAGGAGGCUGAGGCAGGGGGAUCACUUGAAGUCAGGAAUUCAAGACCAGUCUGACCAGCACGGUGAAACCCCAUCUCUACUAAAAAUACAAAAUUUAGCCAGCUGUGGUGGUGCGUGCCUGUAAUCCCAGCUGCUUGGGAGGCUGAGGCAGGAGAGUCAUCUGAAUCCUGGAGACAGAUGUUGCAGUGAGCUGAGAUUGCACCACUGCACUUCAUCCAGCCUGGGGUGACAGAACGAGACUCCGUUUCAAAAAAAUAAAAGAAUGAAAAUGCUAUGUGGAACAAAAAUUGUAUUCAUUUUUGAAACAAGUUUGUUUAAAUGAAAUGAAAUCCCAAGCAAACAACAAAGCUGUUUCUGAGGAGUGAAAGACCUUUUUUGCUUAAUUCUUCCCAUAGGAGAAAAUUCUUUGAAAUAUUUUCUUGCAAUUCGAUAAAAAUGGAAAGACCCAGCAUGUAGGUAGGGCUGCUUGAUUAUUGCAAUGGAGGGAGGGAAGAUGGGGAAGCACAUGCAGCCCUUCUGUGCACCAGGCUCCAGGUGUGAGGACUCUCAUAGCACCAUUUGUGCAACGACGGAUUCGGCCUACUGACAAGGUUUUGAGGAUUUCCCUACUCUGCUAUGUGGAAAUGGAGACACUCAACAUCUCCUUAUAAAAUAUCUUGUGCCAGCCCUCAAGAUACAUGAAGCUGUGGGCCCUCAGAAACAUCUGGCUCAGCAGAAAUGACUGCAGGGUCUGCCUCUGAAGCCCAGCGUUUCUACUCCAUUUGGGAUAUUCCACACAGGAAGAGAAUUGGAAAUGCUGGAGGUAAGAGCUUUGGCAAUCGCUCUCCAAAAACCCUUGGAAACUCAAGUCAGCUUUGGCUGGGGAAGGGUACACAUUAGCUAUCUCUUCCAUACCCACCCAGUCCUUCCUGUUUCUGUUCAUUCUUCUUAUUCUUUCUAAUCCACACCUGCUCCCUCAGUCACACUUUCAGCCUCUGCCCUCUCCUGCUGACAGAGGGCUGUGAUCUCCCCUCCUCCCCAGGCUCCCCACGUCAGGCCGUCCUCCAGGAGUGGCUAUCCAUCUCUAAGGGCUUUCCGGACUGCUGCCCAGCAACUUCAACAGGCACCUCUAAUCGACGACCUCUCCUGCCUCCGCUGGUGUAGGGACGCCAGGCUUCUGAACAGCACUGCUCUCCUCAUUUGCCUUCAAGCUGGCCUAUCUUUCCUGCUGGUGGUGGUGGGCAGAGGCAAGGGUGUGGUCAGCUUUGAAAGAGAUUCCAUUCUUGGAAUAAAGUGAUCUAGCAAACAAAGUCUUCAAAAAAAAAAUACAUGAGGGGAAAAACAAUAAGCUGAACAUGAGCAGAAAACACAUUUUCUUGCAUUUGUGGUCAUCUUCUAUGAAGCACAGUAAGAAUCUUUGGAAGCCAGUCUUCAGGGCAAAAGGAUGGAGGAUGCAGCAUCAUGAGUAUCCAGAGAGUCAGGAUGAAGUUGUUCUUGGGAACUGCAGAGACAAGCAGUUCUAUAUGGUUUCAACACAAAUGGGCUAGGAAGAACCCUGGCACCGUGAGCAAUAAUAGUGUCACUACCUUUUUCUAGAGGUGGGAGACAAAAACUUAGCCAGACACAUUCAACAGUAAGACUCAACAAAGAAUCUUCAUAUUCAUGGACAGAAACUAAAUCUGCCACAUUUCUAGUAAGGUUCUUUCUUGGUUAAUUAAAUGUAUUAAUCUCUUCCAAUUUCUAUGUGCUAUUUGUCCUCAUUCCCCAAAGAUUAUGGCUUAGCUCAGUGUCUGCAGGUGAUUGUUCUUCUCUUGUUGCAGGUAAAAUCAUCCACGAUGCCCUCCAAUAUCAUUCCCAAUCAGUUUCCUGUUUCCCCUUCUCUUGCAGAAGCUCUGGAAGCCCACAGAGAACAGAUGCAUAAACACCAUUUACCAGACACAGCUCAGCAAACCCUCUCUCUCUUCCUUCCAGCAGCUUGGUUGUCCUCAAGGAGUUCCUAAAUUUCAUACUUCUGAGGGUUAUAUGGGAUGGUGAGGGGUGGAGGAGAGUAGCACGGAUUGAAAAAUACAUUAAUGUUGGCUGGGCACAGUGGCUCACACCUGUAAUCCCAGCGCUUUGGGAGGCCGAGGCUGGUAGAUCACCUGAGGUCAGGAGUUUGAGACCAGCCUGGCCAACAUGGCGAAACCCCAUCUCUACUAAAAAUACAAAAUUUAGCUGGGUGUGAUGGCACAUGCUUGUAAUCCCAGCUACUCAGGAGGCUGAGGCAGGAGAAUCGCUUGAACCCAGGAAGCGGAGGUUGCAGUGAGCUGAGAUUGCAGCAUUGCACUCCAGCCUGGGCAACAAGAGAGAUGCUCCAUCUUAAAAAAAAAAAGAAAAAUACAUUAAAGUGUACCAAAAUAAAUAUAUGACAGCUUUUAAAUUAUUUUCCAUGGGAAAAAAACUUAUAAUUAGUGACAAUUACUUACUGAGGGCCUGCUGGGCUAGACAUUAUGGACAUUGUGAAAGAUAAAAAGUUCAAGACACAGACUCUGUUUUCAGGAUGUGUACGCUUUAAAUAUGAAGUUAACACAGGGCAGAAAAGUAGAUACACACAUGCACACACAUACCUAUACACACAUACCUACACACACACACACACACACACACACACACAAAUACUCCUCAGACCCAAAGGACGGAGACAUCACAAUGAACAAGAUGAACAAUUGGUAGGAUUUUAAAAGACUAUUUUCUUUUUCAGCAAGGAGGAUGGAGUGGGCAGGUAGGG
rnacentral:lncRNA from 1 species